GGGGAUCGCAAGACCUUGCGCUGAUUGAGCGGCCGAUAUCAGAUUAGCUUGUUGGUGAGGUAAAAGCUCACCAAGGCGACGAUCUGUAGCGGGUCUGAGAGGAUGAUCCGCCACACUGGAACUGAGACACGGUCCAGACUCCUACGGGAGGCAGCAGUGGGGAAUUUUGGACAAUGGGGGCAACCCUGAUCCAGCCAUGCCGCGUGAGUGAAGAAGGCCUUCGGGUUGUAAAGCUCUUUCAGCCGGGAAGAAAACGCAUGGGUUAAUACCCUGUGUGGAUGACGGUACCGGAAUAAGAAGCACCGGCUAACUACGUGCCAGCAGCCGCGGUAAUACGUAGGGUGCGAGCGUUAAUCGGAAUUACUGGGCGUAAAGCGUGCGCAGGCGGUUUUGUAAGACAGGCGUGAAAUCCCCGGGCUUAACCUGGGAACUGCGUUUGUGACUGCAAGGCUAGAGUACGGCAGAGGGGGGUGGAAUUCCACGUGUAGCAGUGAAAUGCGUAGAGAUGUGGAGGAACACCAAUGGCGAAGGCAGCCCCCUGGGUCGAUACUGACGCUCAUGCACGAAAGCGCGGGUAGCAAACAGGAUUAGAUACCCUGGUAGUCCACGCCCUAAACGAUGUCAACUAGGUGUUGGGAGGGUAAAACCUUUUAGUACCGGAGCUAACGCGUGAAGUUGACCGCCUGGGGAGUACGGCCGCAAGGUUAAAACUCAAAGGAAUUGACGGGGACCCGCACAAGCGGUGGAUGAUGUGGAUUAAUUCGAUGCAACGCGAAAAACCUUACCUACCCUUGACAUGCCAAGAACUUUCCAGAGAUGGAUUGGUGCCCGAAAGGGAACUUGGACACAGGUGCUGCAUGGCUGUCGUCAGCUCGUGUCGUGAGAUGUUGGGUUAAGUCCCGCAACGAGCGCAACCCUUGUCGUUAAUUGCCAUCAUUUAGUUGGGCACUUUAACGAGACUGCCGGUGACAAACCGGAGGAAGGUGGGGAUGACGUCAAGUCCUCAUGGCCCUUAUGGGUAGGGCUUCACACGUCAUACAAUGGUCGGUACAAAGGGUCGCCAAGCCGCGAGGUGGAGCCAAUCCCAGAAAACCGAUCGUAGUCCGGAUCGCAGUCUGCAACUCGACUGCGUGAAGUCGGAAUCGCUAGUAAUCGUGGAUCAGAAUGUCACGGUGAAUACGUUCCCGGGUCUUGUACACACCGCCCGUCACACCAUGGGAGCGGGUUCCGCCAGAAGUAGGUAGCCUAACCGCAAGGAGGGCGCUUACCACGGCGGGGUUCGUGACUGGGGUGAAGUCGAACAAGGUA
rnacentral:rRNA from 1 species